rnacentral:lncRNA from 1 species
CACAGAACAGAAUUACGAGGCAGGGGGUGUCUGGGCUCUCUGAUUUGGGCCAUUGAUCUUAGGAGCAAGACCAUUCAUUCGCUGAGGAUUCCCUGUUUCUAUCAGCAAUCAUGUAACCAUGCUGUGUUUGGACCAUGUGUGGACAAGGAUGCCUGUAACAUAUAUGGAUUUGUCUAGGCAGCGGGACUCUGACUUCAGAUAGGAGUGUGUGCCGUGGGCUAGGCUGCCGGCAGGUAAGGCCUGGGAUUGGCUCCUCCAUAUAAAAUCUAAAAAAAAAAAAAAAAAAAAUUAUAAGGCCUCUAAUGAUUAUUAUGAAAAUUAAGUAAGUCAAUGUUUGCAAAAGUGCCUUGUAAAUCGCAGCACAAAUACCGAAGAAAGUCAUGGUGUGUAGAAUUUGGUCUGAAAAUACUAGCUGACGCUUGACUGUGUCCCCAGCUCUUCGCUGGAAGCUGCAGAGAAACCAAAUGGGGUUAAGCCUUGUUCGCCCAUCGUGGGGCUGGUGGGCUUUCUCAGCGUGAAAGCCUUUCCCUGCCCCUUCCUUCGAACACGCUUCGAUUAAGCACCUAUUAAUAGGCCAGGUUCUGGGCUAGAAGCUGAAUAGUGUGGUGAUCACCGUCUCCUAGGGGACAGACGCUGAGCAAACGGGUAGGUUGCAAAGCCCCGCUGGGGAGCCAGGGAUUGUCACAGAGAAACGGAUGGGUUCAAAGGGCACAAGGCAAGGCUCUCUGAGCCUCCGUUGCAUCAUCUCUCAGAUCCGGACGGGUGGCCUGAACGUUCUCUUGGAAAUCGGUAGCUUGGUUGGAGAGAGUAACCACGAGGUGGGGUGGGCGAGUGGACAGAGGCCAAUUUACGGCGGACCUAGCACUGGGGAAGAGGGAAGCAGUGGUGAUCUUGGCCCUUGGAGAGUCCAUAGUGCGGUGGAAAGACAAGAAAGCAGCCAGUGACAGCGUAGUCUGGUCUGAGUUUUGACAGGCUAAGUGAGGCCAAGAGGUACGGGAGCCCAGAGGAGGAACCCUUUUCCCCAGCCUGGGAAGUUGGAGUGGAAGUUAGCAAAGCAGAGACGCAAGCUAAGGGAGUUCUAGGCAGAGGGAACCGAAUGAGCAAAGGCAUGGAGUUCUAUCCAGCGAAGACACAGAAUCUGAAAUGGGGCGCGAUAAGGCUGCAGGAGGUACACAGUGAACUUGAACGCCGUGGUGGCGAACUUGAACUUUACCCUGUAUGUAGCGGGGAGCUACUUUAGACGCAGAAGCAUGAGAUUAAGGAUUAAUUAGGCUUUGCCACCAGGAUGGCAACUGCGAGUGGGUCCAGGGGAGGCAGGCUGCAGAAGUCCUAGAGGCCAACGUGAAAGGCACUUGUCUGGGGUUGAGCCCAUCGUAUAGCAAGUCUAGAGUGCCAUUGAACUUCCACGGACUCAGCGGCAACCUUCCCCACACAGUGCCCCUGGUCCGGGGAGGAUGGGGCCCCGAGCUGAGAACUCUCUUGCAGGGCCCAGGCCUUCAGAACAGCCCUCCGGGGGGAUGGCCCCCUCCAGCCUCGAUGGGCUAGUUCAGGCUGCUUUAGCUGGGGCCCAUUUGGCUGCAAGGGACAUUUUGCUCAAGCCAAAUGAUGACCUUGUGGAAGGGAGAUGGCGAAGUUUCACAAAACCCAGGGGUGAAAGCUUCAGCCCCGCUUCUGAGGAACUAAGAGUCCAAAACUGCAGAGUCCUGCCUAAGGCUCUUUUCCCACACUCACGGCUCUCCUUCCUCCUUCUUCCCUCCAUCAGAGGGCCAGCUCUCUCUGGUAGAGGAGAGCCCCACUGGCCGGCUUCUCCUCCUCACCGCCAAAUGCCCCGUAGUGGCGGAGGAGAGGACCUCCCUCCGGUCGCUGGGAUCCGGGCAGUCUGAGGGGCUGUGCCUCGGGUCAGGGGGCCUGGGGCCAAGAAAGGGGGUGUGUCCCAGACAGCAGGGCUCCGGAGCCUACUCCUCUGGGUCUGUUGGGGGGUGGGCUUGUGGGUGGGAGGGGUGCCGGCGCUGGAUUGGCCCCCAAGGGCUAUCCGUUCUAUUAGACCCGGUGAGCCUGCCCUCCAGGUGCACAAGCAGUCAGAAUCCACAGAGACCUCCACUCACCUUUUCAGGAAGGGAGACAGACCAGAAAAAUCCCCAUGUUUGCUACUGUGGACAGUGAAAGCAGGUAAGUAAAGGGUCCGAGAAGAGCUUGCCCUGGGGGUGGUGGGCAGGGGUGCGGGAGGGCUGGGCCCUUUUGCUACGGGCUUGGGGAGCCGGUUCAGAGCCCGGCGACCUGGUAGGAGGUGGCCGAUCUUGGAGGAAGAGGCUGAGGCCCCUAGGGCUGGAGGCUAACGGGGGCAGAGCCAGCAUCUUGGGGCUGAGGAGGGGCCCAAGACUUCUGGGGUGGGCAUGCGAGGUUCCUUUGUUUCAGAUGCCCCGUGGACUUCACACGGCACCAGCUGGAGGAACCAGAGACCAUUGGGUGGUUUUCCCCAAAUGUGGAGGAAUCUCUCCCCUCCCCCACCUCUGGUGUUGCUAGACGCUGGGCUUCCUGGGGGUUCUCAUAAACUCAGGAGGCUCUGUAAUCGUUUCCAUAUAGAAUGGUUUCCCUGCAUAGCGAAGGAGGCCAGCUGUAGCU